UACGGGGGGAGCAAGCGUUGUUCGGAUUUACUGGGCGUAAAGGGCGCGUAGGCGGUUAGCACAAGUCAGUUGUGAAAUCUCCGGGCUUAACUCGGAAAGGUCAACUGAUACUGUGCGACUAGAGUGCGGAAGGGGCAACUGGAAUUCUUGGUGUAGCGGUGAAAUGCGUAGAUAUCAAGAGGAACACCUGCGGCGAAGGCGGGUUGCUGGGCCGACACUGACGCUGAGGCGCGAAAGCCAGGGGAGCGAACGGG
rnacentral:rRNA from 1 species